UCAAUUAACCUUGUGAGAUUUUGAGCCUUUUAAUAGAUAACAUUAAAAAAUCCAUCCCUUUCUUUCUUGUGUGUUUCACUCAUGUUUGUUAGUCUCUAGAACUUGAAUUGACUCUUGUUGAAACUUUUUGUUUAUUUAUGCACAUUGAUAUGAUAAAGGCAAAUUAUUUUUGUUUUGUUUAUUUUUAGCUACUAGCCAAAAAGCCAACCCUAAAUAAUAUCAUCCCUUGUUUGAAAAUCCCUUUGAGCCUAUCAUCCCAUUCUUUGUUUAAACUCAUUACAAGUCUGAAAGUGAAAAACAAUCUUAUCACCCAUUCAUAGGGUUGAAAGAGUCUUGUUGGAGUUGUGUGGGGUUGAAUAAUUAUAGUUGUGAUAUUUGAUUCAAACAAAAAAAGUUGGUAGAACAAAAGAAAAAAAUAUAUAAAAAGAAAAAAAUUUAAAAAGAAAAUAUAAAAAGAAAAGAAGGAUGUCAUUACAUAUUCCUUAUGAUCUGAAAAAGAAAAAGAAAGAGAAUAAAAAGAUAAAAGAGAAGAAAAAUAGUUGAGAAGUUGUUGUUUGAAAGUUAAUGAAAUACUUUUAGUUCAACUCCCGCAACACUUUCAAUUUUCU
rnacentral:lncRNA from 1 species